UUUUUUUAUGGAGAGUUUGAUCCUGGCUCAGGACGAACGCUGGCGGCGUGCUUAACACAUGCAAGUCGAACGGAAAGGCCUAGCUUGCUAGGUACUCGAGUGGCGAACGGGUGAGUAACACGUGGGUGAUCUGCCUCGUACUUCGGGAUAAGCCUGGGAAACUGGGUCUAAUACUGGAUAGGACCAUGCUUUAGUGUGUGUGGUGGAAAGUUUUUCGGUACGAGAUGAGCCCGCGGCCUAUCAGCUUGUUGGUGGGGUAAUGGCCUACCAAGGCGUCGACGGGUAGCCGGCCUGAGAGGGUGGACGGCCACAUUGGGACUGAGAUACGGCCCAGACUCCUACGGGAGGCAGCAGUGGGGAAUAUUGCACAAUGGGCGCAAGCCUGAUGCAGCGACGCCGCGUGGGGGAUGACGGCCUUCGGGUUGUAAACCUCUUUCGCUAGGGACGAAGCUUUUGUGACGGUACCUAGAUAAGAAGCACCGGCUAACUACGUGCCAGCAGCCGCGGUA
rnacentral:rRNA from 1 species